GGGGGGGCAAGCGUUUGUUCGGAAUUACUGGGCGUAAAGGGCGUGUAGGCGGUCCCGCAAGUCUUUCGUGAAAUCCCACAGCUCAACUGUGGAACUGCGAGGGAAACUGCAGGACUUGAGUCCGGGAGAGGAGAGUGGAAUUCCCAGUGUAGCGGUGAAAUGCGUAGAUAUUGGGAGGAACACCGGUGGCGAAGGCGGCUCUCUGGACCGGUACUGACGCUGAGGCGCGAAAGCUAGGGGAGCAAACGGGAUUAGAUACCCCGGGUAGUCCUAGCCUUAAACGAUGAGCACUUGGUGUGGCGGGUAUCGACCCUCUGCCGUGCCGAAGCUAACGCAUUAAGCGCUCCGCCUGGGGAGUACGGUCGCAAGGCUG
rnacentral:rRNA from 1 species